UUUUACUAGGAUUCAAUUUCAGGAAUUGUGGAAAAACUGAGUUUAAAUAUAUUUGGCUAAGGUGUAUGUAAACUUUUGACUUCAACGGUAUAUUCCCUGUAUAGUGCACUACUUUUGAGAGAAGGGUGCUACUUAGGACACAGCUGUUGAUUUGGAAGCACACAGCCAGUCUUCCUGUGAUCUACCAUUAAAUAACAUGACUAAUACAGUAGUGUUCGGAUCUCACAAACAAGAUGGACGACAAAGAUCUUUUGUUCCAUUGUCUCAAAAUAAAAAAUCAUCGUCCCGAAUGACCCCCCCCCCUAUUCCCUAUUUAGUGCACUACUUUUGUCCUCUGGUAGUGUACUAUAAAGGGAAUAGACUGUCAUUUGGGAUAUACCUUUUGUAGAGUGUCUGAUGAGUAGCCUUGAUUCAGCAUUAUACACAUUAUGCGUCAUAAUACACAAGUGGCUAUCAUCAACGCAGUGUUUAUAUUAUUACUGUGUUCCUGCACUUUAACCUUUUAAAAGAACAACUCUAAAAACAAAAAAAAAGAUCAACUUUUUCAAACAUUUAUUUCAUACACAAACAAAAAAAAGGGGGAAAAUUAAAUAGCUACAUGUCAUUAAACAAAUUGAUCCUCAAAAAAUACCUACAAUUUUCUCUGUACAAUCGUUACGCACAGCGUAAUGAUGGUCUCAUAAUUAACUAUAUAUAAAAAAAGUUGUUUUUUUUAUUAAGUGAUUUUCCUACAGCGUGCAGGGCAUUGUGUUGCCAUAGCAGAACGAGUAAGAGCCUCCAAAAAAAUGAUAAUUCCCAGGUCACCAGAAAUGUGCGACCCUAGUGCUAUGGUAGUGACACGUUUUUAUAAUGAAAUGACCUCUUGACACUACGCCCCUUCCCUUUCUGUUCAUGCACAUUAUAAAUGACAAUUAUUUUAAAGGACAUUAUCAACGUUUUAGUUCUCUCAUAACAUUUACCGAAAGUACAAAGUGAAAAUCAACCAGUCAUCUUUGACUAUACAUUAGUUUUUGUUUAAAUCUGAACUCAGAUUAAAGUCAAUAAUAAUAACAUCAACUGACUAGCAGCUGGAUCAGCUCUGAGAUAAUAUGGUUUAGGUUCAGCUGGAUCAGCUCUGAGAGAAUAUGGUUUAGGUUCAGCUGGAUCAGCUCUGAGAGAAUAUGGUUUAGGAUCAGCUCUGAGAGAAUAUGGUUUAGGUUCAGCUGGAUCCGGUCUCUGAGAGAAUGUGGUUUAGGUUCAGCUGGAUCCGGUCUCUGAGAGAAUAUGGUUUAGGUUCAACUGGAUCCGGUCUCUGAGAGAAUAUGGUUUAGGUUCAGCUGGAUCCGGUCUCUGAGAGAAUAUGGUUUAGGUUCAGCUGGAUCCGGUCUCUGAGAGAAUAUGAUUUAGGUUCAACUGGAUCCGGUCUCUGAGAGAAUGUGGUUUAGGUUCAGCUGGAUCCGGUCUCUGAGAGAAUGUGGUUUAGGUUCAGCUGGAUCCGGUCUCUGAGAGAAUAUGGUUUAGGUUCAGCUGAAUCCGGUCUCUGAGAGAAUAUGGUUUAGGUUCAGCUGGAUCCGGUCUCUGAGAAAAUAUGGUUUAGGUUCAACUGGAUCCGGUCUCUGAGAGAAUGUGGUUUAGGUUCAGCUGGAUCCGGGCUCUGAGAGAAUAUGGUUUAGGUUCAGCUGGAUCCGGUCUCUGAGAGAAUGUGGUUUAGGCUCCGUCCCUAAUGACAUCCCUAAUCCUU